UACCACAAUGGGGACCAUCUUGAGAAUCGGACCCUACACUUGGGAAAAAUAUAGGAAAAAUGGGUUAGUACAAAAUUGCACUAAGUACGAUAGUCAUGCACAAAAUUAUGAAAACAUGCUAAAAGGGACAUUUUAGUUGAAUGCAUGCUUUUUCUUAAGUUAAAGCAUUAUUUUGAAGAUAGUGGAAGAGCAUAAGUCAUAAGCAUAGUCAACUCAUAAAUCAUAAUACCAUAAGAGGAACCUACCAUAAAUACCCUCAAAGGCUACUUGUGCAAUCCAUGAAAAAGAUCCCAUACUCUCACCAUACUAAGUAAAACCCCCUAAGUAGUCAUAGUUCAUAAUUCAUAUUCUUUUCAUAGUGGGAAUAAACCUUAACUGACAUAAACCAUGCGAGCUUAACAUGGAAUCCUGUGUUACCCACACCAAAAAGGGUUGUCCUACUUGCCUAAGGUAAGACCAUAAUUUGUUAGCUUUUAGGUCGAUCCACUAGCUAAAAAUCCUACGAGGGCACGUAGUUAUGGGAUAAAGAGAUUAUUACUAAAAAACCCCGGCUUUCUUAACGGGGGAGCUUCUAUAUCAUGAGAUCACUUCUAGAUAUCAGCGCAUAAGUUGCUUUGUACAGCUGUUAGAUAUAAUUAGUUAAUUACUGUAUUAUUAGUCAUUAGUUACUGUUGAGUUUUACUAUUAGUUUACUGCUGCUCUUCUAUUUUGACUAGGUCUCUAACAGUGUUUAGGUUAGGAUUAUCUCCCUAUUUUGUGGAGUUAGCUUAGGAAAUAGUUAGACCAUCGUGUAUAUUUAUUUCCAUUCCAGCAAUAAGAAGGAAAGGUUCUUCUGCAGCUUAUCUUGUUUCUUUAUGGUAUCAAGAGCCACAAUAAACUCUAACGAGUAAGAUCCUAUUUUUUUUUCUCUCCCACCCUUCACAAAUGGGCGACACUUCUCAAGUAGUCACCGAAGAUACAAACAUCGGAGUGACAAUCAUUCAAUUUAAUCUGGCAUCCCAAUUGCCUUUCAAAUUACUUGGCAGCCAAAACUUUUCAACGUGGAAGGCGCAAUUCUCGAGGCUUAUGCAUGGUCAUGAUCUAUAUGGCCAUCUCGAUUGGUAUGCUCCCUCCCCUUCUCGCAUGAUCACAACUGGCAUAGUCCCUAGUGCCAAUUCUGUGUUUUCUCUUUGGUUUCGCCAAGACCAACUUAUUCAAAACACCCUUAUGGCAUAUGUUGAUCCAACAAUUGCCACCACUAUUGCAACUGCUAAUACAGUAAAAACUGCCUGAGAUGCAUUGUGCACAGCCUAUGCGAAUAAGUCCAAAACUUGCAUUUUUAGUUUGCGUGAUCGCCUUACGCGCCUGGCGAAAGACUCCCAACCAGUCACCGAAUAUUUGCAACAUAUUCGCUCUAUUUCUGACGAACUCUCUACAGAUGGUGCCCCAAUUACCAACUCAGAACUUAUUGUUAAGAUCCUGAGUGGUUUGGGUCUAGAGUUUCGUGAGAUCUCUACUGCGAUUUGUGCACGUGACUCCUCUAUUUCUUAUGAAGAACUCUACGAAAAUCUAUUGGAUCAUGAGCUUUUCUUUCGCCAUGAAGAGUCCAAGCACGCUCCCAACCAGAUUACUGUUGCCGUUGCUACAUCUAACAUGUCUGGUCAUUCAAAUUAUCGGAACACUCGUCGGCCCAACAAUGGCAACAACCAACAAUGGCGGUCCAACAAUCGCUCUACUACACCCAGUCCGUGUCAAUCUUCCACCACCACCAACUCUUAUGAUGUUGUUCACUGCCAAUUGUGCAACAAACCAGGUCAUGUUGCAAGUGUGUGUAGAUCAAAAUCUCACAAUCAUUUUGAGGCAAAGGUCAACUAUAUUUCAGGAUUGCAGGCACCAGCAGAUUCUUGGAUUGUCGACUCUGGAGCAUCUCAUAAUAUCACUACUGAACCUCACAACUUACAGGCAUACAAUGGCAUGGAGCAUGUCUCCAUGGCUGAUGGUAACAAAAUUCCCAUAACUCACACUAGUUCUACUCAAUUACAUGCAUCGAAUAAUGCUUUCAAGCUUUCUAAUACUCUAUGUGCACCUACCAUUAAGCGCAACUUACUUUCAGUUUCUAAAUUUUGUCAAGAUAAUCUAACCUCUAUUGAAUUUUUUCCAUUUCAUUUUUGUGUAAAGAACCUAAACACAUGGACUCCUUUGGUCCACGGUCGGAGUAGAGACGGUCUUUAUGAGUGGCCAACUUCACCUUCGGUGCCUUCCCCACAAGCACAUGCUGCCUCCUCCAAUUCGUCCUCCAUUAUCACUUGGCAUCGUAGAUUGGGUCAUCCACAUGCCAGAGUUUUGAAUUUUGUUUUAAAUAAAUUCUUGCUGCCUUGUACAUGAGAAAAAAUUUCAGUUUGUAAUUUUUGUUCAUCAAAUAAAGCUCAUCGACAUCCCUUUCAACAACUUACAUUGUCAAGUACAAAACUGUUUCAAACUAUUUUUAGUGAUUUGUGGGGUCCUUCUCCAGUGUUAUCAAUUGAUAAAAAAUAGGAGUAGUACUGCAUUUUUGUUGACCAAUUUACCAAGUACAUUUGGCUUUAUACCUUGAAACAUAAAAGUGAGGUAAAAGAACUUUUCAAAAACUUUCAAGUUUUAAUGGAAUGUCAUUUCAAUACAAAAAUUAUUUCUUUAUAUACUGAUGGUGGUGGAGAAUAUAAAAGUCUUUAUCCAUUCCUAAACUCUCAACAUAUUGAACAUCUUUUAGCUCCUCCAUACACCCCUCAACGAGUUGCUCUUGCCGAACGCCGACAUAGACAUAUUAUUGAAACGGCAAGAACAUUACUCCAUGAAGCCUCACUUCCCCCGACCCUUUGGUCCUUUGCUUGUUAGUAUGCAGUUUACCUGAUCAAUCGCUUACCUCCCUCCCUUGUGCAAAAUCAAUCACCUUUUCAAAUGUUAUUUGGUACAAAUCCAGAUUAUGCUCACUUAAAAAUUUUUUUGGGUGCUUGUGUUAUCCAUGGCUCAAACCAUACUCGAAGAAUAAAUUAGAGCCAUGAUCGACGCCUUGUGUUUAUUUGGGUUUUUCAUCAAAUUAUCAUUGUUAUCAAUGUUUUGAUCCAAAAUCGUCAAAAAUAUACUUGUCUCGUGAUGUCAAAUUUUUUGAAAGUAUUUUUCCUUUCCAGAAUAUGUUUUCAAAGCUUUCCUCAUGUUUCAGAUAACUUGCCUGGGAAGACUUGGUUACAACUAACCAGGACAUCUCUCCUAUGAUUUCUCCUGUACCUUGUACAGAUUUACCACCUCCUAUUACUCUGACCAAUGCAGAUACCAUCCGGCACACGCAUGUUACUGUCUCCUCCGGCUGCGCUCCAACAGAGUCUGCGAUACCAGGUACUUUUCCUACUUUUUCUUCUCGACUUUCUUCUCUUCUUGAUGCCCAAUCUUCUCCUCUGCCGUCCUCCAUCCUUGUCGAGAGAACUUCCAUUCCAAUACCCUUUCCAUCACCUCAAAUACCAUCAACAUCCCAUCCACCAUCGCCAAAACCUCUUAUUCGGUUUGUGUACUCUUGUUGCUCCACUCCAGCGGCAACAACGAACACCUCUGCCCCAACCUUGACCGAACCACACCCUUUCCCCUUGCCUCCAAAUCGAGUCGUUACCCGCUCACAACACAAUAUCCAUAAACCAAAACCAAUUUUUGAUUACAUGGUUCACCUCCCACCUAUAUUCACUCCCAGCACCUUCAAACAAGCAAGCAAACACAUAGAGUGGAAGAAUGCUAUGCAAGCUGAAUUUGAUGCACUGCGUAAAAACCACACAUGGGAAUUAGUAUCUCCUGAUCCGUCUAAAAAUGCCAUUGCUUGUAAAUGGUUGUACAGAAUAAAGCGAAAGGUUGAUGGUUCUAUUGAUCGUUAUAAAGCCAGAUUGGUCGAAAAGGGAUUUACCCAACGUCCCGGUGUUGAUUUUCAUGACACGUUUAACCCAGUAGUCAAACCAACUACUAUUCAUGUGGUCAUCUCCAUUGCAAUCAAAUUUGAUUGGCCUCUGCAUCAACUUGACGUUAAUAAUGCAUUUCUUCAAGGACGUUUGGAUGAAGAGGUUUAUAUGGAACAACCUCGGGGAUUUGAAGACACGACUUGUCCAACCCAUAUUUUUCAUCUUCAUAAAGCUAUUUAUGGACUCAAACAAGCUCCUCGAGAAUGGUACAAUGAACUCAAGAAUCAUUUGCUCCUGUUAGGCUUCAUAAAAUCUGAGUCUGACAGCUCCAUCUUUGUUCGUCAUCAUUCUCAUGCCACAGUGUACCUAUUGGUAUAUGUGCAUGACAUUAUUGUUACUGGCAGCAAUACUUCAGUUGUUAAUCAAGUUAUUUCUUCCCUUGCAGCUAAAUUUUCUGUUAAAGAUCUUGAAGCUCUCACCUACUUUUUAAGUAUUGAAGUCAUUAGAAGUGUGGAUGGUAUUAUUAUGACUCAGAGUACCUAUACACGUGAUAUAUUGUGUGAGGAGAACAUGAUUGAAUGCAAACCUGCUAAAACUCUAAUGAGUACUACUGAAGUACUCAAGGUCAAUGAUGGCGGAUUAUUAGCUGAUGCAACCAGAUACAGGAGGGUGAUAGGGAUGAUCCAAUAUUUGUCUUUCACUCAUCUAGACAUUUGUUUUGCAGUAAACAAACUGUCACAAUUUAUGCAAACUCCCUUCGAGAUCCACCAGAAAGCUGUCAAACGGGUACUAAGGUAUCUUCAAGGGACUGCUCAUCUUGGCUUACGGUUGAUGCGCCAUAAUGAUUUUUCUUUACAUAUGUACUAUGAUGUGGAUUGGGCUGGAGACGUCAAUGAUCGAGCUUCUACUACUGGAUACCUUCUAUUUAUUGGCCAAAAUCCUGUGAGUUGGUCCUCUAAAAAGCAAAGAGUGAUUGCUCGUUCUUCCACUGAAGCUAAAUAUCGGACAGUUGCAAGUGCUAUUGCGGAAACAAACUGGGUCACAAAUCUUCUCGCAGAACUGCGACUUAAGUUUCAAAAGGUCCAAACUAUCUACUGUGACAAUGUUGGUGCGAUGUAUUUAUGUGCAAAUCCUAUUUUUCACAGUCGCAUGAAACACUUUGCGGUGGAUUUCCAUUUUGUAUGCAAUCGGGUUCAGCUCAAGCAAGUUCAAGCUGUCCAUAUACAAUCCACAUACCAACAUGCAGAUACUCUAACCAAGGCCCUUUCCAAAUCAUCCUUCGACAAACACAUGUUCAAGCUAGGUGUUGUUGCACACUGCCUACCUUGAAGGGAGCGUAUCAGCGCAUAAGUUGCUUUGUACAGCUGUUAGAUACAAUUAGUUGAUUACUAUUUUAUUAGUCAUUAGUUACUGUUGAGUUUUACUAUUAGUUUACUGCUGCUCUUCUAUUUUGACUAGGUCUCUAACAGUGUUUAGGCUAGGAUUAUCUCCCCAUUUUGUGGAGUUAGAUUAGGAAAUAGUUAGACCAUUGUGUAUAUUUAUUUCCAUUCCAGCAAUAAGAAGGAAAGGUUCUUCUGCAGCUUAUCUUGUCUCUUUCCUAGAGACCCAACCUUUCUUAACGGGAGAGCUUCCGUCUCAUAUUCAAUAUCCACUCGGUGCUAAGCAUUUAUCCCACAGAGUACUUAUUUAGUCAUAACUUGUUUCAUUAUGAUACCUUGUUAGAUCAUAUGUGAGAAUAACUUUGAACCGUCCAUGUCUACAUACAACAUUAGAUUCAAUUAGGUGAGAAUUGCCUUUCAACCUAGAAUCUCUCCAUUAUGUGAGAAAACCUUUCACAUUAUGUUCAUUAUGUGUUUAUGGAAAUAGCCUUUCAAUCAACACAACCACAUCAUCAUAAUCAUUGACACUUCACUCUCAAAGUGUUCUUAAUGCAAACACAUAAACCUCAUAAUCAUACAUAAUUCUCAUACUUUCCCUUCAAGGACCAUAAUCAUAUUCAAUCAACACAUCUAGAAUUGCUACAUUAGACAUGGAUAAUAACACGAUUCAAAUAGUCCAAUUUCUACAAGAAUAAUCUCAUAAUACUCAUCUUUCUACAAUUCACCCACAUCACAAAGUCAUAAAUUGGGAAUAUGGGGAUUUCAUGGAUUUUUGGGAGAUUUCCUCAUAAAACUAUAAUAAAUCAUCAAUUCAAUCAUAAUAUAAAGUAAUUAAAUCAAUAGAAACAUUUUUUGAAAGGAAUCCAUGACUUGGAGUAAAACCCUAGCUUUUGAGUUGAAUUACAUUCUUUGAAAUUGAGUUUGGAGGGACUCCGUGGAUGAAGACUAUCCGUGGAUGAAGACUAUCCAUGGAUGAAGGACUACCAUACCUUAGCUAUCAAAAAUCAGAAGAAUUUGAGUAUAAAUCCUUGAUCCUUCAAACCCUAGCUUCACCUUGCUUCUUCAAACCCUAGCUUCACCUUGCUUCUUCUUCUUGCUUGGAGUCCUAGAGAGAGAAUUUUGGGGGAAAUUGGUUUUGAUUUGGGAUUUUGGAAUUAUGAGGAAGAUGACUUGAUUUGGUGACUUAAAGGCCUUAUAUUGUUAGUCUAAGUAAGUAUAAAAUGGCGUCACUUAAUAUUAAUGAAAACUGGAAAACCCCAUAAUGCCCCUAAGUGUAACUGCCAUUUGGCAGUUUCAGGCCUCACCUACAAGACCACGUCGACGGAUCAUGGAUGGACCUACGGUCUGUCCUUGUCAUCCAUGGUCUUGACAGAUACUUUGGCCCUCACCCACAACCCACCACUGAUAGACCGUGGUUUGACCAAUGGCCCGUGCUGGUGAACCGUGGUCUGGGGUUUAAAGGCCUGUUUUGUAGGCCUUGACCUACAACUCUCACCCACUAGGCGUGGGUGCCCUCUGUGGGUUACUACCCAAACAACAUUUUUGAGUCUUCCUCAAGGACCCACGGUUGGUCCUUGGGGGUCGUACCUUGAUGUUCUAACACGAAACCCUAUAUUUUUAGGUACGGGGAGGUACGUUUAUGACUCUAACCCUCAUGUUAAACUCUAGUUUAGCCUACUAGUUUCCGAAGUGUUACAAGAUGAUGGUUUUAAUGAUGAAAUAAUAUAGAAGAAAGGCGUAAAAAAGGAGACACAUACAGUAGGAAAGUAAUAAUAAUAAGGAAAACACAAUAUUCGAGGUGUCAAAAAAUAUUUAGAAAAGAGGGAAAUAAUUAAUGCAAGAGGUAAUCUCGGCAUUAAGGGAUUUGCAAUAAUAUCUAACGAUUUACGAAGAGAACAAAAUUUUUCUUUCAAAAGAGGUUUAGUAAAAAUGGCAGCCAGUUGACAGUCGGUGCUAAUGAAAGAUAUUUCAAUAUCUCCAUUUAAAACAUGAUCUCGGAUAAGAUGGUGCUUGAUAUCAAUGUGCUUAGCCCGAUAAUGAUGGACAAAUUUUUUUGAAAGACAAAUAGCACUGGAAUUAUCACACAUAAUUUUAACAGGUUUAAAAGAUAAAUCAUGAUUUAAAUCAGCCUCUAUGGUAGAGAGUGUUAUGGAACCUUGUGUUUGGAUAUUCUAGGAGAUCAAAGAUUUCCUUAGAAUUUGACAUGUGCCAAUGGUGCUUUUCCUAUCAUCUUUGUCACCUGCAUAAUCAGUGUUAGAAAAUCCCUCGAGAAAAGAGUUUUUCUCUCUAGGGUACCAUAGGCCAAAUGAGGAUGUUCCCACCAAAUAACAAAUGAUACGCUUUACUGUAGUUAGAUGGGAUUCUUUAGAGGCUGACCGAAACCUUGCACAUUUGCACACGCUAAAUAGUAUGCCUGGUCGACUGGUAGUAAGAUAGAAUAAAGAUUUAAUCAUACCUCUAUGUUUUGUUUCUUCAACUAUCUUACCUUCUUAAUCUUAUCGAGAGAACAAGUGGAGCUCGUAGGAGAACCUAAGGAUUUUGAGUUUUCCAUACAAAACUUUUGAAUGAGUUCUUUGCAAUACUUAGUUUGACAGAGGAACGUAGCUUUCUCUGAUUGAUAGAUUUGUAGUCCAAGGAAGAAUGUUAAUUCCCCCAUCAUACUCAUUUCGAAUUCACUUUGCAUAAGAUCAGAAAAUUCCUUACUCAAGGAGAUAUUAGCACUUCCAAAAAUGAUAUCGUCAACAUAUAUUUGAAUAAUAAGAUUUCCACAAGAAGAUCUCUUAGUAAAAAAACUUGUAUCAAUUUUUCCUCUAGUAAAUCCAUGAUUUAUUAGAAAAUUGCUGAGACGAUCAUACCAAGAAUGAGGUUCUUGUUUAAGACCGCAAAGAGCUUUUGAUAGUUUAAAAACGUUAUAGGGAAAUUUAGCAUUUUCAAAAAUUGGAGGUUGCUUCACAAAAAACUACUUAUUCAAUAAAACCCUUUAGGAAAGAACUUUUUACAUCCAUUUGAAGUAGUUUAAAACCUUUAUUAACGGCAAAUUCCAGAAAUAAAUGAAUAGAUUCUAGCGUUGCUACAAGAGUAAAAGUUUCAUCAUAGUCGACUCCUUCCUGUUGAGAGUAACCUUGUGCCACUAAUCGAGCCUUGUUUCGAACCACUUCUCCAAUUUAAUUUAGUUUGUUUCUAUAAACCCAUUGGUUUCAUUGAUAGACUUAUUUUCAGGUGUAGGAACUAAAGUCCAAACCUGAUUUUUGUCAAACUGAUCUAGUUCUUCUUUCAUAACCUUGAUAGAAUGUUCAUUUGUAAGAGCCUCAUUCAAUUUCUUUGGUUCAAGUUGAGAGAUGAGUGCAAUUUAAUUUUCAUUUCUUCUUGAUAAUCGAAUCUUCAUACCUUCACUUGGAUUUCCAAUAAUGAAUUUGUUUGAGUUGUUUGGUUCGCUUUGCCAUUCGUUUGGAACUGCUUUGACUAUAGGAUAAGUUGAAGUUUCUUCAGUAAUUGACUUCUCAACAUAGUUUGUCUCCUUUUGAGUUGAGAUAGUAAGUUGACUAUCUUCUUCAUCUUCGUCACUUCAUGCAUUAAACUUACCAAUAUUGUCUUUGCCAUUGUUAUGAACAAAACACUUGCAUCCAAAUGGAUAAAAGUAUCUGAUAUUAGGUUUAUUACCAUUCUAUAAUUCAUAUGGUGUAUUUUUCAUAAUGGGUCUAAUUAAACAUCGAUUUAGCACAUGACAUGCUGUACUUACAGCUUCUGCCCAAAACUUGUGUGGAAGAGAAUGCUAAACAAUCAUUGUUCUCGCCAUGUCUUGUAGUGUCCUGUUCUUCCGUUCUACUACUCCAUUUUGUUUUGGUGAUCGAGGCGAAGAGAAGUUGUGAGUGUAUCAUUUUUUAUUGCAGAAGUUUGCAAGCAAUCUCUUUCCAAAUUCUCCUCAUGGUUGCUUCUUAUAGAUGAGAUAUAGUAACCUUUAUCUAGUUGAACUUUUUCACAGAAAAACUCAAAGUUCUUUAAAGUAUCAUCCUUAUGAGAUAUAAAUAUUACCCAGGUAAAACGAGAAUAAUCAUCAACAAUAACUGAUGCGUACCUUUUACCUCCGAUGUUGGCUGUUCUAGUAGGUCUGAACAAGUCCAUGUGUAAUAGAUGCAGUGGUUUAUUUGUGGAUACAAUAUCUUUUCCAAAGUAUGGGUUUCUUGUUUGCUUACCCAUUUGACAUGUGUCAUAUAUAUGAUCUUUUGUAUAGUCCAAUUUAAGUAAACCAAUUACGAGAUUAUUCUUAGCCAGUUUCUCUAUUAGUCGCAUACUUGCAUGACCAAGAUUAUUUUGCCAAAUCUAGAGAUCAUGAGUCAUUGAUGCUAGGCAUAUAUGUUCUCUAGUGUUUUUUUUUUACAGAAUAAAGAAUAUAGACAUUCUUUUCUCUGCUUCAUUCCAGUAGAUUGUUUCCAAUCCUCUAUUACACAUUGAUUCUUUUGAAAUCAGACUUCCAGAUUUGAGUCACAUAGUUGACUGAUACUCAACAGAUUAUACAUUAGUCCUGUCACUAAGUAAGCAUUUGUGAUAUCACAGGAAUGUACCAACGCCAAUAAAUGUUCCCUUUGAGUUUUCACCAAAACGAAUGUUUCCUCCCUUAUAUUCCGCAACAGAUUUAAAUAAUAUUUUAUCUCCUGUGAUGUGAUUUGAACAUCUGCUAUCCAGAUACCAUUUUCCCUUUGUUUUUCUGCGGUGAACCUGUAAAACAAAAUUAUUAUCUACUUUUGUGUACCCAAGCUUUUUUGGGUCCUUUGAAGUUAGGUUUAUCCAAAUUUCUUUUAGGUCUCCAAACCCAUUUAGUAGUGGUAUGGUUUCGAAACCUCGAAUUGUAAGAUAAAUGCCCAACUUCCCACAAUAAUGACAACUUUUGAGAAUGUCUUUUUCUGAGAUGGAAUUGUUACUGCUAGCUUUUGAAUUAGUCAACUUAUAGGAUAAAUUAAACCUAAAGUAAUUUCCAUCUGACGAAUUUCUGCUGUUAGAGAAAUUUUUAUGAGUUUUAGAGGAAUUUUUUAAAGAAUCAGAUUUGUUUUGAAAAUUCUCAAGGGCAGUUUUCAGUUCCUGAAUUUCUUCAUAAAGAAGAUCUUUUCCAACUUCACUUACUUCUAAAUUCUUUAUUUCUAAAUUUCUCUUUUCAGUUUGUUGAUUUCGAAAAUCAGUAAAGAUUUGAUCAAGGUCUGUCACAGCACAAUCUAGCAAAUUUUUUAAUUCAUUACAAUUAUUACACACCUCAUUGCUUGAUUGUCCAAUUGCCAUGAAACAUAUGUUUCCAAUUUCUUUAUAUUCAUUUUCAAAAUUGUCUUCAUCACUCCAGCUACUUAGUUCAUUGUUCUUUUGGUUUCCUCUGGAAUAUUUUUUUUUUGCUUCUAGAUAUUCACCAGCUAUAUGUCCAUAUUUUUCACAUUCAUAGUAUUUCCAUCAUUUUUUUAUUGAUCAGUAAUAUACUUUCCUUUUCCAAAAUUUCUUCCUCUUCUGUUGUUUCUGGACCUCCUGAAUGAUUCCAUGUCUGAUCUAGUAAUUAAAGCAAUUUCAUCUUCCACUAUUUCUUCUUUUGCUUUGUCUUCAUGACUAACUCUGAAUGCCGCAGUUUUAUUUUUGGUAUCUUCUUGGCCUUUUUUGUUCAGAUGUGUUUUCUCACAAGCAAUUAAGUUUCCUCUAACCUCAUAAGAGGUUGGAGUGCUUAAGUUCAUAAUUUCGAGAGCAACUACUUUGGCAUGCCAUUGAGGUGGUAGAUUUCUGAGAAGUUUUUGUAUAUGAUCAAUGGGAGGAUACGUUUUUCCCUGAGGCUUUUAGUUCUCCAGAAAUCUUACUCAAUCGUACAAAUAUGCUUUCGAUUGUUUCUCCUUCUUUCAUUCGAAAGAGUUCAUAUUCGUAAACCAGCAAACUGAUGAUGUUUUCUUUGACUUUAUCAAUUCCUUCAUACGUGACCUCUAGUUUGUCCCACAUUUCCUUGGUAGUAUCACAAAAAUAGAUUUUCUCAUAUUCCUCGCCAUUGAUAGCGUUAUAUAGAACAUUUUUUUCAUUAGAGUUUAUUUGAAUAUUCUCAAUUUGUUCAUUCAUGUAGUUCUCCAAACUUGGGAUGGUGGAGGACUGACUUUCAUCUGAACCUUUUGUAGUGGGAAUAGGAAUAUCACCAAGCUUGAUAACUCUCAAGACUUUCACAUCAUAUGAUUUUAUGAAGGUUUCCAUCUUAACUUUCUAGUGAGAAAAGUGUUUUUCAUUAAAAUAUGGAGGUCUUCUUUGAGAGUUUCCUUCUUGAAAUAGUGAUCCCACGAUUUGUUGAGCCAUGAUCUUUUUCUCACCUAUUAUUAAUCAUUUUUUUGUGAAGCGAGGCUCUGAUAGCAAUUUAAAGGGUAAGAGGGGGUGAAUUGUUGUUUUUUUGUGAGUAUCUGACUUGUGAAGAUCCUUAGUCGACUACAGUUUGCCAAGAAGUAUACUGAAAGCUGGAAAGUGCAUAAGGUAAACUUGACACAAAACGUUUUAUACUGGUUGGGAUCCAAAAAUGGAUCUAACGUCCAAUCCCCUUGGGUUGCAAGGGUGUUCUCUUCUAUACUUUGUAACCUUUGAUGUGAGUACAAAGGCGAGUGUAAUUUUUCACUAUUAAAACUCAGAUUGUUUUCACUCUCUGUUUUCUUUUGAUACAAAGCCUUGCCAACAAUAUUUUUCUCUCUUCUCUUUUUUGUUUACACAGUAGAACUAGGUAAUACAAUUCUUGUUAAAAGUAGAGUAGAGAAUGUGAGAUGAUUCAAACUCGUUGUAUAUCUCUCCAAUGGUAGACGAUUUCUCUUUUAUAGUGCUUGAGACUUGAAUCUUUCCUUCGAAGAGAAGGCAACCCAAGAGAUUCGAUCCUUGAAAAAGAAGGCAGGGGUUCCUUAUUUUCCAAGAAUAAGGUCAAGGAAAAUCUUCAGUUUCCUUCUAUAUUUGGCCUUGAUUGACUUCUGAUCUCAGCUUCCUUGAUUGAGAUAUUGCCGUUGAAUUUUCCUUCCUUGAUUGUCUUUGUAUUUGCUUCCUAACUUGAUUUAUUGUUUUAGAUCAAUUUAGCCUUUGUGUCUUCUUCCUUGAUUGACGAACUUUUAUUGGUAAUCUUCAGUUUGUCCGUUUGUAUGCUUGAUUGAAUCUUUUCUGAUGUUUGUGAGAUCUCCAACUCCAUGAUAUCUGGAAUACUUAUAUUCCAAGUUUCAUUCUUGGUUCUUUCCUCUUUUGAUGUUGUGUUUUGACCUGUAAGAGUUAAUUGUUUAUCAUUAAAAUCUUGUUUUAAUAGUCUGCAUUACUCCCUUUGCUGUUAGAUUCUUUGACAGUAACAUUGGAAGGGUAAAAUUUAUUUACUAGUCUACCUAGUUUUACAUUUCCUAUUGAAAUUCUAAUAGUCUUGUUGUUAUCUAAACCUCUGGCUCUCCAAUUCAAUUUUUUUUGGUAAAUAUCUUUAGUUCAUGAAUAGUUUUUGAAAAUCACUUUUUUGUGGGUUUUUCGGAAACAACCUCUCUACCCCUCAAGACGUAAGGGUAAGGUCUACGUACAACCCCCUCCCCCCCCCUAGACCCCACUACUGGGAUCACACCGGGUAUGUUGUUGUUGUAUAUGUAGUUCAUAAACAAAGAAUGGUAGGUUGAUUAUGCAAUGCAUUUGAUUUCUCUUAUUGUGAGUCCAAUAUCAUAGGUAGGGGUGGGCAUAGUUGGGGAAAAUCCAAAUCUGUCUUAUUUUUUUUUUGGUUUGAAUUUUAAGUACAGAUUGGAUUGCAGAUUCAGUUGUUUAAAUAUUAAGAUUUCGGAUUGGAUUUCAAAUUUGGGAAUUUGGAUUUUUGGAUAUCCGAAAAUCUGAAACUUUUAUACCUUAUUUUUAGCAUGAGCCUAUUAUCCAUAUGCUUAUUACUAAUAAGUCCAACACCCUACUUACUAGUUAUUAGUUCAUAUAUCCAACUGUAAGUUUUAUGUCCUGCCAGAAUACUUUUUGUUUCGACAUAAUUUUACUAUAUAACAACAUACCCAUUGUAGUCUCACGCAGUGGGGUCUGGAUAGGAUAGAGUAUACAUAGACCUUACCUCUACCUUAGAGGUGAGGUAGAGAAGCUCUUUCUGAUAGACCCUUGGCUCAAGACUUCAACAUAAUUAUACUAUGUUGUACUUAAUAUUUUCAACCCUUUAUUUACUCUUUUCUAUUGCAUUUCCUGGAUAAUAUGGUACCAUUGCUUGCAUAAUAUUUUAUUUGGAUGAUAGUGGUGGGAAUUACUAAGACAUUUGAAUGGAAUUAAGCUCUCAACUUAUAUGCUCAAAAAAUCAAAAUAUCCAAGCUGAUUAGUUUGAACCUGAACUGAAGAAAUUUGAUCUAAUCCAAGGUUGUUUGGAUUGGAUUUGAAUUGUACUCUUCAAUUCCAAAACCUAAAAUCCUUACUAAAAUUUUAUAUCCACUCCGAAUUAUUGGAACUUCCAACCUUAGUCACAAGACAACUUGGUAUAAAGCCAAAAAGUGUAUUGAAGUAUCAAAAUAUUUUGUCAAAAUCUCUUUAUAUUGUUGAUUUUAGAAAUUCUGUUUAUAUAAAGAUGUUUAAUUAGUAUAUUACCAAAAUAGAGCACAGUUAUAAGGGGUAAUUUUACAAAGAGUCUUAUAACUAAUUGCAGUUAAAUUCAAUUGAACAUACAAUACUCCAUUUUCGAAUUACUUUGAGGAGAGCCAAUUUUUUUUAAAGAUCUCAACAAUCGAUCUAAGAUCUCAGUGACCGAGUAAAGAUCUCGGCGAUCAAUCAAAGAUCUUGGAGAUCGAUCCUUUUCUCGAGUAAGCGCAUAGGAAGUUACGAAUUAAGCUUUGAUUCUUGGAUUCACGUUCUUCUUACCGUUGCUAGGAUUUAAUAUUGUGCUAAAUAUCUUUAAAAUAAAUGGAGUUCAAUUUUUUUUUGCAAAAAGAGAAGUGCAAGUGAUUCCAAGUCUUUUUAUUGUUGUCAAAGUCACACUUAGUGUGCUUAAGCCAUGAGACGAGGUUCAAAACGUGUUGAGCACUGCACCUUACUUUAUGUGCGCUUCAGUGUCGUCAUCAAAGUUAAAUAUCCCCCUAAUCUAAUUUUGCCAAACACACAAGUUAACGGUCAUGUUUAUAUAUCAUGACAACUAGUUUAUGUACAAAACUCGCAAAAUUAUAUUAGGGGGACAUUUAACUUAUUCAUUCUAUACAAAAAUAAUCAGUGUUAUCAAAGGCGAAAAGCUCAAAAAGUUCUAAGGUACGUUGGGGCUUUAUGCGUGAAGCGCAAAUGAAGUGUGGGUUUUAAUGAAAAAAGGUGCAAAGGGAGAAAAAUGCAAAUAUAUAUAUGUUUAGUCCAAGACUAAUAAUUAUAAACAUGAAUGCCAAAUAUAUGACCAAAGAAACUGAAAUAAAACACAUUUUGAUAAAAGUGAAAUAUAAAUUGUUUAGAGUCACCUCUUUAGAAGAGGCUCAUUGGCAAUGAAAAGAAUGCUUUAGAACUUUGAUGACGACACUGGAGUGCACAUAAUGUAAGUUGGAAUGCUCAACACGUUUUGAGCCUCGUCACAAGGCUUAAGCACACUUUAAGCGCCCCUUUGACAACACUAAAGAAGACUUAGAAUCACUUAGACUUCUCUUUUUGCAUAAAUUCAAACUGAAUUUUAUUUUAAAAAACUUUAGGACAAUAUUAAACCCUACCAACGAUAAGAACAUGAAUCCAUGAAUCAUAGCUUAAUUGGGAACUUCCUAUGCGCUUAUCCGAGAAAAGGAUUAAUCGCCAAGAUCUUUGAUCGAUCGCCGAGAUCUUUAAUCGAUCGCUAAGAUCUUUGAUUGAUCGUUGAGAUCUUUGGAAUUUUUUGGCUCUCCUAAAAGUAAUUAGAAAUGGUGUUUUGUAUAUUCAAUUGAAUUCAACUACAAUUAGCUAUACGACUCUUUGUAAAAUUACCUCUUUUAACCUUGCUUCUUUGGUAAUAUACUAAUUAAACAUCUUUAUAUAAACCAAAUUUCUAAGAUCAACAACAUAAAGAGAGUUUAACCAAAUAUUUUGAUACUUCAAUACACUUUUUGGCUAUAUACCAAGUUGUCUUGUGACUAAGGUUGGAAGUUCGAAUAGUUUGGAGUGGAUAUAAAAAUUUCAAUUAGGAUUUUAGGUUUUUCGAUUGAAGAAUACAAUUCAAAUCCAAUCCGAACAACCUUGGAUUGGAUCAAAUUUCUUCAGUUCAGUGUCAAACUAAUCAGCUUGGAUAUUUUGAUUUUUUGAGCCUAUACGUUGAGAGCUUAACUCCAGUUGCGCGACCGCGCACCGACUCGGAAAUUGUUUAAGUCCUCUCUUCUCUUCGCGUUUCAAGAGGGAUGUUUCUUUCCUUUCCUAAUUUCAUAACCCUAACCCAUCACUAUUAACUUCCCUGAAAAGUCAUAUUUUAGGAGAUUCGAUAAACUAGACAAACGUUUAGCCUUUUGUUCUCUAACACUUCAAGAAGAAAGAUCUAAGGUUAAUUCUCAAGGUCCCUUUCUUAAGUUCUUCAUCAAAAUGUGUGUUUGAACAUUCCUUACUUCAUUUUGGAAAUCUUACGGAAAAUAUCUUCAUCACGAACACUUGUACAUAAUUAACUAAAGCUCAUACUUCAUCACAAACUCUUAUAGGAAAUUCUCAUAGAUUGAGGCAUGUCAAAAGACAGUGUCCUUAAGGAUAUUUCAUCCGGUAUAGGUGUAUCCCUUGGAUUCAAGAAGCUCUUCUAGUAUAAACUAGGAGCCAGAAACUAACAAAGAUUCAAUUGAAAGAAAACCCAACAUAAGAAUAUAUUAAAAGAAGAAUUGUUCUCUUUUCUUAUGUCACACACUAUAAGUAUAAGACUUAGAUUUAUAUAGGAAAAUCACUAACCUCUCUAAUGUAUCAAUGAUUGAAAUAGUCAAAACCCAUAAAGGCAUUGAAUUCCAUCAAUAAAUUGAAAGCCAGUCAUUUCAUCAAAGAGUCGUUGGCAACAACCAUACUAUGACAAAACUUAAUGGAUAAUUAAAGGAUAUUAAUAAUGGCAAUAUGAUAUUAUCUAUGGAGAGAAAAUAUUUAGGACAUAAAAUAAUAUUUUCUUUCAAGUAUAAUAAGAAAUAAAAUAAUUCAUUUUGAGAUACUUGAAUCACUUUUCCAACAAUCCCCUACAUAUCUCAAAAGAAAUCUUGAUCUGUGACAAAUUAUUGUAGUUUUGAUGAUUGACAAAUAGUCUUGAUGUGUGACAAAGUAUUGUUUAUCAUCAUCAAAAAGGGGGAAAUUGUUGGGAUGUAGGAGAACAUAUAAUGUUUGGAAGUAGUAGAACAUAUAAGUAGUUUUGAUGAUUGAUAAAGUGAACCUGGUUCACUACUUGUUGUGUUUUGUGUACUCUAUCAGGUGAACCAGGUUCCCAGAUGCGAAUGCAGAUAAUCUAUACAAAUAUGUCAGAUUGCGGGAAAGAAGAAAAAUAAUAAAGUGCAGAAAUAAAAGAGUGAAAAAAGAAAUAAAGAAAUAGCCGAAACAAAGAAGGAAAGAAGGAAAGAAAUAACGAAAUAACAAUACAGGUCGAAUAAGGAAAAAAGUAAAUAUAAACAAGUUCUAGGCAGAAAAGGAAAGAGGCAGACGAGUUUAAUAAGGACAAUGAUUAGUUUUCUAGGGAAUGAAAUUCCUUUCCUUGAAGAAGUUGAUAAAGGAAAAACAAAUUCUAUAAAAGGUUCAAGCCAAUUAAAGAAAAACUCAUCUUUGAAUAAACAGAAUUUUGAGAGAAUUUUCUAGCAAAGGUAGAACGGUACCUAUUAUAUAUUCAUGACAUCAUCUUGAGAGCAAUAGCCAUUGGAGCAAAACUGCAAAGUCUUCAUUAUAGCAUCACUGGAACCAGGUUCAUGAGUUGUGUUCGAGUAUAAACUAUUUGAAUGUUGAAGUCUUAUCAAUUAAAGUCUAGGGUUAUUAUACUUUAUUGAUUUGUUCUAGGUUUAUUAUUGAAUUGUAAUAAUUCCUAGAUUUGUAACAAGAAGUAGGUUUGGCUUGGAGAAUAGAGUAGAGAGAGAGUGUUGAGAGAAUUGUAACAAGAAGUGGGCUUGACUUUUUGGGGGUAGAGUUAAGAGAGAGUUUUGAGAGAAUUGUAACAAGAAGUGAGAUUGUUUGGAGAGUUGAGUCUUCUAUUAUAGGUAAUUGUUGAAAAGUAAAAGGUACUAGAGUUUCCUUUUGACUGUUACGUUGUAAUACUGAAAAGAAUGUGAAUUUUGAAGUGAAUAAGAUUGUGGUAUGGUUUUUACCUUCCUUGAGGAAGGAAGGUUUCCACGAUAAAAUCUCUAUUUUAUUAUGUCGCGUUUUGUUUGGCUCAACAGAAGUACAAGAACCUGGUAAUUUUAUAGGGGUAAGGUUUCUUCACAAAUCAUAUAUUCAAAUGAUAUCUACAAGUAAACCCCCUUAAAAUGUGGAAUUUGAAAAUUUAAAAAGUAAGAUACGUUACUUCUCGUUGACGGUUAAUAUCUACAAGUUACUUAACACAGUCAAAGUUGCGCCCAAGUGCACACUCGGGGUCUCACAGGUGCACGACCACGCACAGUUCUGAUGGGAUUAUUUAGCCAAGGUCGAUUUUGGAAAUAUCAUUUUUUACCCCUUGACCUAUAUAAUUACUGAUAUUGUCCUUAUAAGUGUUCAAAGAACAUCCAAGGAGAAACGAUUAGGAGAAAACUUCAUAACUCUAUGAACCUAAAACCAGAGUUUGUAUUCAGAUUUGGUUGUAAUAUUUUCAAUCCUUAUAACUCUGCACGUCGCAGAUGACAAGAUACCAUAUGAGAAGUCUUUUUCAAUUUAUAUACCGUGCAAAUCAAUUUACGAUAUGAGAACUCAUUGUCUGAUUACGUUAGAACAUCAACAAUAACAAAAUAGCCAUUGGUGUACCAUUAACAUAGUACUCCCUCCAUCCUAAUCAUCAUCUAUCAUAUAUAAUCAUUAUUAUUAUAAGUAGGAAGCCUCAAAGAUAAAAGUUUGAAAGACCAAUUUACCCAUCAAAUAUCAAAUAUUGAACCACAUUAAUCAUUUAAUACCUAAACAAUUCUCUUAAAAAAAUAUGUAAAGUAACGGAGGAAACUUGCCUCAAAAAAGCGAUAUACCUCGAACUUCCAGAAGGAGUACCAUGGUUCAAUCCCAACAAAAAUUUCACCCAGAACUCAAAACACCUCCACUGGAUUCACAUCUAGAUAAAAGGAAAUGUUAGACACAAAGCAGGAGGGAGACACACAAAGACAAGGGGACUUACCUUUGCGAACUGAUAUAACUUUGCAUACCAAGAUGGAGAACGUUGUUCACCCAAAGAAGGAGAAAGAGCAAAGAAGCUGAGAGAGGAGAUGGAAACAUGGAAGCGGCGGAUAUUUGGAAACUGUGAAAAACAGAGAAUGCUUAAGAAAACCCUAUUUUUAGGGAGUGGAUAAGGACAAGAUCUCAAACACUUAGAUUGCCUUUAUUUCCUUAGCUUUUGAGUAGUGGGUUUU
rnacentral:lncRNA from 1 species